rnacentral:rRNA from 1 species
UACGGAGGGUGCAAGCGUUGUCCGGAUUCAUUGGGUUUAAAGGGUGCGCAGGCGGGACAUUAAGUCAGGGGUGAAAGACGGUGCUCAACAAUCGCAGUGCCUUUGAUACUGGUGUUCUUGGGUGACCUUGAGGUAGGCGGAAUGGGUGGUGUAGCGGUGAAAUGCGUAGAUAUCAGGAGGAACACCGAUGGCGAAGGCAGGUCUCUGGGCCACUACUGACGCUGAGAAGCGAAAGCAUGGGGAGCGAACAGG